GCAAACGUGAUGUAGUGGUUUGAAUGUUGGACUAUGCCUCUGGAGAUCAGGGUUCGAUUCCCUGCUUGAGCA